rnacentral:tRNA from 2 species
GGAGGGAUGCGAGAGUGGACGAUCCGGCGCGUCUCGAAAACGCGUGUGCAGAAAUGCACCGUGGGUUCGAAUCCCACUCCCUCCGCCA